AUUGAACGCUGGCGGCAGGCCUAACACAUGCCAGUCGAGCGGAUGAAGGGAGCUUGCUCCUGGAUUCAGCGGCGGACGGGUGAGUAAUGCCUAGGAAUCUGCCUGGUAGUGGGGGAUAACGUCCGGAAACGGGCGCUAAUACCGCAUACGUCCUGAGGGAGAAAGUGGGGGAUCUUCGGACCUCACGCUAUCAGAUGAGCCUAGGUCGGAUUAGCUAGUUGGUGGGGUAAAGGCCUACCAAGGCGGCGAUCCGUAACUGGUCUGAGAGGAUGAUCAGUCACACUGGAACUGAGACACGGUCCAGACUCCUACGGGAGGCAGCAGUGGGGAAUAUUGGACAAUGGGCGAAAGCCUGAUCCAGCCAUGCCGCGUGUGUGAAGAAGGUCUUCGGAUUGUAAAGCACUUUAAGUUGGGAGGAAGGGCAGUAAGUUAAUACCUUGCUGUUUUGACGGUACCAACAGAAUAAGCACCGGCUAACUUCGUG
rnacentral:rRNA from 1 species